CAGUCGCCGCGGGAAUACGGAGGGGGCUAGCGUUGUUCGGAAUUACUGGGCGUAAAGCGUACGUAGGCGGCUUGGUAAGUUAGAGGUGAAAGCCUGGAGCUCAACUCCAGAAUUGCCUUUAAGACUGCCGAGCUAGCAGGUGAGAGAGGUAAGUGGAAUUCCGAGUGUAGAGGUGAAAUUCGUAGAUAUUCGGAAGAACACCAGUGGCGAAGGCGGCUUACUGGCUCAUACUGGACGCUGAGGUGCGAAAGCGUGGGGAGCAAACAGGAUUAGAUACCCCGGUAGUCCCUGUCUCUUAUAC
rnacentral:rRNA from 1 species